rnacentral:rRNA from 1 species
UACGGGGGGGGUAAGCGUUGUUCGGAAUUACUGGGCGUAAAGGGCGCGUAGGCGGUCCCUCAAGUCAGGCGUGAAAGCCCCGGGCUCAACCUGGGAACCGCGCUUGAGACUGGUGGGCUAGAGUUCGGGAGAGGAUGGUGGAAUUCCCAGUGUAGAGGUGAAAUUCGUAGAUAUUGGGAAGAACACCGAUGGCGAAGGCAGCCAUCUGGACCGACACUGACGCUGAGGCGCGAAAGCGUGGGGAGCAAACAGG